AGAGCCUGCUGUCUCUAGCACCCUAGCUUUGUUCCUGUGAAAAGCUGAGAAUCUAGAGAAAAUUAAGUACUAAGAAUAGAGAACAGCCUCUCCAUUACUUAGGCACUGGGAAGGACAGGGCUCAAUAGCUACCUUUGUCAGGCACUAACUCCAGUGAGCUAAUCAGCCCUCCAGAACUACCUAUAUUCCCUAGGGAGUAAAGCUCACACAUCUGAACUUCAUGACAGCUCUUCAGCCUGUUCCUGCUAACAGCCAUGUGUACCCAGUACUAGACAAGCCAUGGCAAUUUGUAUUAUAUCCCAGAAUGUCCCUAUAUACAAGUUUAAGCUGAACUGACUUGCAGAAAGAAAAAUUAAAAUUCAGCCUCCAAGUAAGUAUUUUUGAUAAAAGAACGGGAUGUUUUUAAGAAAACUCAGCAAAAGAUUUACAUAAAUAUCCUUAAAGGAUGUUAAAAAAAUAAAAAGGUUUUAGUUUUUUGGGGAUUUUUUUCC
rnacentral:lncRNA from 1 species